AGAGUUUGAUCAUGGCUCAGAUUGAACGCUGGCGGCAUGCCUAACACAUGCAAGUCGAACGGUAGCAGGCCCGCAAGGGUGCUGACGAGUGGCGGACGGGUGAGUAAUACAUAGGAAUCUGCCUGAUAGUGGGGGAUAACUUAGGGAAACUUAAGCUAAUACCGCAUAAGCCCUACGGGGGAAAGCAGGGGAUCGCAAGACCUUGCGCUAACAGAUGAGCCUAUGUCGGAUUAGCUAGUUGGUAGGGUAAAGGCCUACCAAGGCGACGAUCCGUAACUGGUUUGAGAGAACGACCAGUCACACUGGGACUGAGACACGGCCCAGACUCCUACGGGAGGCAGCAGUGGGGAAUAUUGGACAAUGGGGGCAACCCUGAUCCAGCAAUGCCGCGUGUGUGAAGGAGGCCUUCGGGUUGUAAAGCACUUUCGGUGGGGACGAAAAGCUUGAGGUUAAUACCCUUAAGUGUUGACUUAACCCAAAGAAGAAGCACCGGCUAACUCUGUGCCAGCAGCCGCGGUAAUUC
rnacentral:rRNA from 2 species